GCCAGAUGUGGUGGCUCAUGCCUGUAAUCCCAUCACUUUGGGAGGCUGAGGCAGGAGGAUCACUUGAGCCCAGGAGUUCAAGACCAGCCUGGGCAACAUAGUGAGACCCUGUCUCUU
rnacentral:sRNA from 1 species